GUCGGUAUCGAUUAGGGGUUAAAUCACCUCGUUGUGGAGCUUAGUACCAGACCGAGGAGCCGCCAGUUCGAUUCCGGCUACCGACA